UGGGGGUUCUGAGAUGCUGAGACUCGGGCGACCGGCUGAGAGGCCGAGUUCCUGCAAGUCCCGGCUCCUUGCGGGCCUGUCCUGCGCGGUGCCGGUGCCCAAGGCCGGAAAAAGGUAGUUUAACUUGAAGCAAUCAUACCAGUUAUUCUGGAAGGGCACUAUCCAGUCUGCUGUUAAAAGCUGUGGGUGAGGACUUCCCUGGUGGCGCAGUGGUUAAGAAUCCACCUGCCAGUGCAGGGGACACGGGUUCGAGCCCUGGUCCGGGAAGAUCCCACAUGCCAAGGAGCAACUAAGCCCGUGUGCCACGACUACUGAGCCUGCUUGCCUAGAGCCCGUGCUCUGCAACAAGAGAAGCCACCGCAAUGAGAAGCCCAUACACCGCAACGAAGAGUAGCCCCCGCUCGCCGCAACUAGAGAAAGCCCGCACGCAGCAACGAAGACCCAACACAACCAAAAAUGUGUAAAGGAGAUUCUUUGCUGUUUUUAUCCUCAACACUUCUGACACCAAGUAGGAGGUUUUUUUCCUCCUGACAAGAAGUAUGUGGUGGACUUCCCUGGUGGCGCAGUGGUUGAGAAUCCGCCUGCCAAUUCAGGAGACCCGGGUUCGAUCCCUGGUCCAGGAAGAUCCCACAUGCUGCGGAGCAACUAAGCCCGUGCACCACAACUACUGAGUCUGCGCUCUAGAGCCUGCGAGCCACAACUACUCAGCCCAUGUGCCACAGCUACUGAAGCCCGUGUGCCUAGAGCCCGUGCUCCACAACAAGAGAAGCCACCGCAAUGAGAAGCCCACGCACCACAACGAAGAGUAUCCCCUGCUCGCUGCAGCUAGAGAAAGCCCGCGCACAGCAA